CGGAGCCACUGCGGCCGGGGCCUCGGAGGGAGCAGCUCGGCCUCCUCCUCGUUGCCCUGCAGUGUCGCAGGCCCCUCCUUGGAGGCCUGGCUGUGGCAGCAGAGCCGGCCCCGGGGAGCCCGUGUAGCCUGAACUUCAGUUCCUCACCUGCCCAGAGCCUGGUAGCUGUGGCGUUUGUGUUGGUCAACCUCAGCUCAGCUCUCUGCAGCUGUAGGUGGGCUGCAGAUGUAAGAUGGAGACUUAUGCAGGCAACUCUGCAGUAUGUAUGUUAGAGGAAUUUGAGAGUCUUGUGAAAUCAGAAGGCUACCAUGGACUAUAAUUACAAACUAUCACAAGGAUUUUUAAAAUGUAUUUAUUUGUUCUCAUGACUUGGAGAUGUAUAUAUUUUAAAAGAUCCCUCCAAUAGUAGUUUUACAAAGCUGACUUAGUAGUGUUGCACAAUCCAUAAACCAGAAUCCCAGUACACUUCUCUUAAUACAAAUACCACAAACUUAGUCCUUAUAGACUACAUUUUUGAAAGUUGACUUACUCCAAAAUUACGUCUUUUUAUUUACACGGUUUAGUAAAUUCAUACCACUUCUUAAAGUGUCUUUGGCUGUAUCUAGACAUCUCGCAUCGACUUUUUCUUUUCAUGAAAUUGAUAAUGUUUUUGCUAAGUGAAUUUCCUGGACUUGGUUGCAGUGUAAUAAAAUAGAUAAUCAAGGUGUUAUAAAGGCAUGCCACCAGAGGGAUUUGGGAUAUAUCCUACAGCAUCAUCGGUCAUAACAGAACAAGUGUUAAGCUGCUUGUAUACAACAAAUCUCAAACUUUUUAGUGUAAAUUGGAAAUACACAUUUUUUUUCCACAGGAAAGCCUGAUACUUCUUGUAUUAUCUACCUGUGUAUAAGCAUACACAUAUUCAGCCCCCAGCCUAUAAAUGCUACAUGAAGGCAGCUCUAUAGCUUUUGUGUGCAUUAUGUCUCA